rnacentral:rRNA from 1 species
AUUGAACGCUGGCGGAAUGCUUUACACAUGCAAGUCGAGCGGCAGCGCGGGGCAACCUGGCGGCGAGCGGCGAACGGGUGAGUAAUACAUCGGAACGUACCCAGUUGUGGGGGAUAGCCCGGCGAAAGCCGGAUUAAUACCGCAUACGACCUGAGGGUGAAAGGGGGGGAUCGCAAGACCUCUCGCAGUUGGAGCGGCCGAUGGCGGAUUAGCUAGUUGGUGAGGUAAAGGCUCACCAAGGCGACGAUCCGUAGCUGGUCUGAGAGGACGACCAGCCACACUGGAACUGAGACACGGUCCAGACUCCUACGGGAGGCAGCAGUGGGGAAUUUUGGACAAUGGGCGCAAGCCUGAUCCAGCCAUGCCGCGUGAGUGAAGAAGGCC